CUGUUUUCUAGGUAACCCAGCUACGUUGGCAGUCAGAUUUAAAUAAAACAUAAUUCUUGCUCUGUCUUAUCUAGCCUAAUUCCCUUAUUUGACAGAGGGAGCUGAGUCUCAGAGAAGUUAAGUGGAGGAGCUAUGUCUAUUCAUUACUGUAACAAAUAGUUAACAAGCAUCCGUUAUGUGCCAGGCGUGAUUCUAGGCACUGGCAAUGCAGUGGUGAAUAAAAUGGACAAAAAAUCCCUGCCUUUAUGGAACACAGCAUUCUAUUGGAGGAGAAAAAGACCAUAGACAAGGUUCAUGUUGGCUAUGUUGGGGACAACUUUAGAAGAGGAAAGGCAAAAGCAGAGGCACCCUUGAUCCAGGUGCUGGGUAGACUCCAACGAGUAUGACCCACUAGGAGUCUGGUCUAGUUCACUUAUGAUCCAAGCUGAAGAGAAUUGCAGAGAACAGCUGCUGACUUGGAAGGCAGACUUUGUGACAUCCACGUGGAGCUCUGGGGCAGUUGUCAGCAAAUGCCAUCUACUCAGACAUUAAUGAAAGCACAGAAUGAGCACUGGGUGGCUGAUAUUUCCAUCUGUCCAGCUCCACAAGCCAAAAACUAGGAAGUCAUCUUUACUGCCUCUGCCUCCCUGACCUCCACAUGCUGCCCCCACCACCCCCAUCUAAUCAUCCCAGUUACCUGUAAAACUUCUCUUGAAUCUGUUCACAACUCUCUACCUCUAUAGUAAUAACUCUAGUCCAAGCUAUGAUCAUUUCCCACCUGGUCCCUGUUGUCACUCUGUGGCCUGCGAUCUCUAUUAGUCAGGAUAUAUAGCCAAUGCUGCAGAAACAGAAAGCAUGACCUCUCAGUGGCUUAACACAAAGAAGGUUUCUUUCUCACUUAAGCAAAAGUAGGUGGGGUGAUGCUCCUCCAUCAGUCUAACUACCUGUAUUUUUUCCAUAGCAAUUAUCAUAGUUUGUAAUGAUAUAUUUAAUUGUAUGCUUAUUGGAUUAGAUUGAUUUUCGUUGUUCUCACUAGGAUGUACGCUACCUGAUAGUAAGGCCUACACCUAGAACAAAGCCUAUAAUAUAGCAAUAAUCCUUGAAAUAUUUUUGAAUGAAUGAAUGAAUGGAUAAAUGAAGUGGCUAAACUAUAACUGGAAAACAUUUAAUUGUCCUGAUCUAAAAAAUUAUAAAAUAUUUCCUGUGUAAAAAAUCAUUGUAAUACAUAUGGAUAUUUUAAGCAUAACAAUAAAAAAAAACUCAUGUAUCACCAAUUCAAAAAGAUAACACAUUACCUCUGCCCUCUGUGUGUCCCUCCCUGAGCAUGUCUUAGUCCUAGAGCUAAACAAUAGGUUACAUUUUGUGUUUACCAUUCUUCUUCUUUUUUUG
rnacentral:lncRNA from 1 species